AUACAGAGGGUGCAAGCGUUAAUCGGAUUUACUGGGCGUAAAGCGCGCGUAGGUGGCUAAUUAAGUCAUAUGUGAAAUCCCCGAGCUUAACUUGGGAAUUGCAUUCGAUACUGGUUAGCUAGAGUAUGGGAGAGGAUGGUAGAAUUCCAGGUGUAGCGGUGAAAUGCGUAGAGAUCUGGAGGAAUACCGAUGGCGAAGGCAGCCAUCUGGCUUAAUACGGACACUGAGGUGCGAAAGCAUGGGGAGCAAACAGGAUUAGAUACCCGGGUAGUCCAUGCCGUAAACGAUGUCUACUAGCCGUUGGGGCCCUUGAGGCUUUAGUGGCGCAGCUAACGCGAUAAGUAGACCGCCUGGGGAGUACGGUCGCAAGACUAAAACUCAAAUGAAUUGACGGGG
rnacentral:rRNA from 1 species